rnacentral:rRNA from 2 species
UGAGGAAUAUUGGUCAAUGGUCGAGAGACUGAACCAGCCAAGUCGCGUGAAGGAAGACGGUUCUAUGGAUUGUAAACUUCUUUAGUCGGGGAGCAAAAAGAGUGACGAGUCACUAAUUGAGCGUACCCGAAGAAUAAGCAUCGGCUAACUCCGUGCCAGCAGCCGCGGUAAUACGGAGGAUGCGAGCGUUAUCCGGAUUUAUUGGGUUUAAAGGGUGCGUAGGCGGUUUAUCAAGUCAGCGGUUAAAUGUCCGGGCUCAACCCUGGCCUGCCGUUGAAACUGAUGAACUGGAGAUAGUGUGGAGUAUGCGGAAUGCGCAGUGUAGCGGUGAAAUGCAUAGAUAUUGCGCAGAACUCCGAUCGCGAAGGCAGCAUACUAACACUAGUCUGACGCUGAGGCACGAAAGCGCGGGUAUCGAACAGG